rfam:Aedes albopictus isolate Foshan contig112237, whole genome shotgun sequence.
UGUUCUGUGGCUGAGUUAGUUAAAUCGCCGCUCCAGCGAAUACGGAGGCGUGGGUUCGAAUCCCACCAGAACGU